rnacentral:rRNA from 1 species
AGUGAACGCUGGCGGCGUGCCUAACACAUGCAAGUCGAACGAUGAUAGAGAGCUUGCUCUCUUGAUUAGUGGCGCACGGGUGAGUAUACCAUAGAUAAUGUACCUCUUAGUUCGGGAUAGCCACUGGAAACAGUGAUUAAUACCGGAUACUCCUUCUUGUCUUAAGGCAAGUCGGGAAUGUUUUUUCGCUAAGAGAUCAGUCUAUGUCCUAUCAGCUAGUUGGUGAGGUAAUGGCUCACCAAGGCAAUGACGGGUAUCUGGUUUGAGAGGAUGAUCAGACACACUGGAACUGAGACACGGUCCAGACUCCUACGGGAGGCAGCAGUGAGGAAUAUUGCACAAUGGAGGAAACUCUGAUGCAGCAACGCCGCGUGGAGGAUGACGCAUUUCGGUGUGUAAACUCCUUUUAAGAGGGAAGAUAAUGACGGUACCUCUUGAAUAAGCACCGGCUAACUCCGUGCCAGCCGCCGCAGUAAGAC